rnacentral:rRNA from 1 species
AGUGAACGCUGGCGGUAGGCCUAACACAUGCAAGUCGAACGGCAGCACAGUAAGAGCUUGCUCUUACGGGUGGCGAGUGGCGGACGGGUGAGGAAUACAUCGGAAUCUACUUUUUCGUGGGGGAUAACGUAGGGAAACUUACGCUAAUACCGCAUACGACCUACGGGUGAAAGCAGGGGAUCUUCGGACCUUGCGCGAUUGAAUGAGCCGAUGUCGGAUUAGCUAGUUGGCGGGGUAAAGGCCCUCCAAGGCGACGAUCCGUAGCUGGUCUGAGAGGAUGAUCGGCCACACUGGAACUGAGACACGGUCCAGACUCCUACGGGAGGCAGCAGUGGGGAAUAUUGGACAAUGGGCGCAAGCCUGAUCCAGCCAUACCGCGUGGGUGAAGAAGGCCUUCGGGUUGUAAAGCCCUUUUGUUGGGAAAGAAAAGCAGCAGGUUAAUACCCCGCUGUUCUGACGGUACCCAAAGAAUAAGCACCGGCUAACUUCGUG